rnacentral:rRNA from 1 species
UACGUAGGAUGCAAGCGUUGUCCGGAAUUAUUGGGCGUAAAGAGCGCGCAGGCGGUAUGACAAGUCAGAUGUGAAAGAGGCCGGCUUAACCGGCAAGGGUCAUUUGAAACUGUCAGACUAGAGUGCAGCAGAGGAUAGUGGAAUUCCCGGUGUAGUGGUGAAAUGCGUAGAUAUCGGGAGGAACACCAGUGGCGAAGGCGACUAUCUGGGCUGCAACUGACGCUGAGGAGCGAAAGUGUGGGGAGCGAACAGG